GAUGAACGCUGGCGGCGUGCUUAACACAUGCAAGUCGAACGGAAAGGCUCCUGCUUUCAGGGGUACUCGAGUGGCGAACGGGUGAGUAACACGUGGGUGAUCUGCCCUGCACUUCGGGAUAAGCCUGGGAAACUGGGUCUAAUACCGGAUAGGACGAUGGUUUGGAUGCCAUUGUGGAAAGUUUUUCGGUGUGGGAUGAGCUCGCGGCCUAUCAGCAUGUUGGUGGGGUAAUGGCCUAUCAAGGCGGCGGCGGGUAGCCGGCCUGAGAGGGUGUACGGCCACAUUGGGACUGAGAUACGGCCCAGACUCCUACGGGAGGCAGCAGGGGGGAAUAUUGCACAAUGGGCGGAAGCCUGAUGCAGCGACGCCGCGUGGGGGAUGACGGCCUUCGGGUUGUAAACUGCUUUCGCUUGGGACGAAGCGCAAGUGACGGUACCUGGAGAAGAAGCACCGGCUAACUACGUG
rnacentral:rRNA from 1 species